UAAGACGAACCGUCCGAACGUUAUUCGGAAUCACUGGGCUUAAAGGGUGCGUAGGCGGCGCAGUAAGUAGGGUGUGAAAUCCCUCGGCUUAACCGAGGAACUGCGCCCUAAACUACUGUGCUCGAGGGAGAUAGAGGUGAGCGGAACUUAGGGUGGAGCGGUGAAAUGCGUUGAUAUCCUAAGGAACACCGGUGGCGAAAGCGGCUCACUGGAUCUCUUCUGACGCUGAGGCACGAAAGCUAGGGUAGCGAACGGGAUUAGAUACCCCGGUAGUCCUAGCCGUAA
rnacentral:rRNA from 1 species